AGAGGGAAUGUUUUAAGGUCUUUGGACUCUUGAAUUACCGUAAUUUUUGGAUCCCAACUUUUAGGGAGGGAUCUUAAGAUUUUAGUUACUAGUUCAAAGUUAGUAAAAUCUUUACCAAGAGCUUUGAGUCCAUUGAUGACAUCCGUGAACUGGGAGUACAUGUCUCCGAUGGACUCACUUGGUUUCAUUCGGAAAAGUUCGUAAGAGUGCACAAGGAUGUUGAUUUUGGACUCUUUCACUCGGCUAAUGCCUUCAUGAGUGACCUCAAGAGUUCUCCAAAUAUCAAAAGCUGAAUCACAAAUUAAAACACGAUUAAAUUCAUUUUUUUCUAGUGCACAAAACAAGGCAUUCAUAGCCUUUGCGUUUAAAGCAAAAACCUUCUUCUCUGAUUCAUUCCAUUCGCUCAUCAGAAGAGAAGAUUUUUGAAAUCCGUUUUCAACAAUAGUCCAAAGCUCGAAAUCCAUGGAAAUGAGGAAGAUCCUCAUACGAGUCUUCCAAUAAGUAUAAUCCGACCCAUUAAACAAGGGUGGACGUGUGAUAGAAUGACCCUCAUGUAUGCCGGAGUAAGCCAUCUCUCUUGGGUAUCAAACCAAAUAGGAGAGUGAGCCUAGCUUUGAUACCAAUUGUUAGGAUCGGAGCGGCAAUAAGAGGGGGCGGUCAAUUAGUGCAGCGGAUUAAAACGUCGGUUUUUACAAAUCUUUCAUACGAUAAAAAUCGAACUUGGAAGUGCUUAACUUGAAAGCGUAUUCGCAAAGUUGUGUAGCGAAGGUAAUGAGGAAAUAAAGCAAGUAAGAAGGUUUGCAGUAAUGUAAAUAGCAGUAAUGAAUUGCAAACCAGAGAUUACGCCGAUUUUAAAGUGGUUCGGUCAAAUGACCUACAUUCACUUGUGAGGCCCCUGUUCGAUGAGGCUCCCACCUUCCACUAGCAAAUCUCUUGAAGGGGAAGGGUAAAUAUCCCUCUUACAACUUUUUACAAGUGGUUCACUCUCUUACAGAUUUUCAACAAGAAAGAAGGAGGUGAACACUAGCAAAUUGAAAAUAAGACUAGCUAAGACUUUUCUAAGACCUUUCUCUCAAUCAAUUGCUUCUCAAAAAGUUGUUAUCUCAGCUGAGAUUUGAGGGGUAUUUAUAAGCCUCAAGAGGAUUCAAAUUUGGGCUCCAAAAUUUGAAUUCUCUUUGGUUCCCGAUGCUGGCGGUGCCACCGCCUAUCAGUGUCUGACACUGAUAGUGGACUGGCGGUGCCACCGCCCAGCUCUCGGGUGCUGGGCGGUGCAACCGCCCAGUUUGGCGGUGCCACCGCUAGACACUUCGGUUCACUGGUUGGGCUUUAAAUUUAGCCCAAACCAAGUCUAAUUUUGGGCCCAAUUGGCCCCUAAUCAGGAAAUAGGAUUAUCUCUUAAUCCUAAUCCUAAUUACAUGUGAACUACAUAACAAAAAAACAUCCUAAGCAAGUUUUCAACCGCGAACGUCGAGUCUUGUUCCAGCGAGCUUUCCGACGAACUUCUUCCGACGGACUCCCAGCAAGCUCCCGAUCUUGUGAUGACUUUAACGAGUAGCCGAGCCUUCUCGGUGAUCUUCGCGAACCUCCGACGAUCUCUUCGGUGAACUUCCGAAAAUUUCGACAGGUUCCCGAUUUCUUCUCGGUUGGUUCCGGCAGCAUCUUCGACGAUUCUUCGGACUCUCAAACGUCCAUCGAACUUGACUCCAGUAUUCUUGCUUUAUGUUUUCUAGUUAUCGUAGUUAAUCAUGCAUACUUAACUCAAUAAUAUGGAUUAGAUCAAUUAACCCAUCAAUUGAUUUUAUCAUCAAAAUCCGAGAUUCAACACAUCGAACUUGACUCCGGUAUUCUUGCUUUAUGUUUUUUGGUUAUCGUAGUUAAUCCUGCAUACUUAACUCAAUAAUAUGGAUUAGAUCAAUUAACCCAUCAAUUGAUUUUAUCAUCAAAAAUCCGAGAUUCAACAAUCUCCCCCUUUUUGAUGAUGACAAUCAAUUGAUGACGGAGUUAAACAUAACUCCCCCUAUCUAUAUGCCAUAUUAUGAGAAGAUAAAAAUACUUGAAUUCCAUCCCAUUGAAUUCAAGCAUAAACCGAUAAGUUCUAAUUGUAGAACUUAUCGUUAUUCCCAUUAAGCAAUAGUAAAUACGAAACUUCGAUGAAAAUCAUUUUCAAGUCAAAUGAUAAGGGACGAUUUUUACUAUGAUAGGAGAUAAAGAUUUUCAACAUGAAUUUCAUAAUAUAGAUGUAAGGCAUGCUUUCAAUAUGAUCAAUCAAUCUUGCGAUAUUCUCAAAGAUUUUGCAAGGCAUAUAAGACAUUCAUAUCACACAAGUUUUUGUAAUUCAUAUAAGUCAUGCUAUCAAAAUGGUACAAGUCAUCACUUUUCUCCCCAUUUGUCAUCAACAAAAAGGGAACGAGACUUGAAGUACAUAAUUUGUGAUUAUAACAUUAGGAAUUCAGCAUUAAUCAUACAAAAAUUCAUCAUUCAAAAUUAAGUAUGCUAAAAUAUUUACGCAGAGUUCAUCUUAAAGGAAAAUUCAAUAUUCAUCCAUUUUAUCAAAUCUCUUCUUUCUAUAAAUAACAAAAAUUGUAGGUGUACAAGGAAGAGAUUGUGAUUAAAAAAAAUUUCAAGUAGUAACUCCAAUAAGUCAAGAUUAUAAUUCGAAUACAAACUCAUUCAAAUUCAAAUCGUCAACGUAAAACUCAUAAUCAAGCCAUCAAAAUCAAUUUCGAGAUUCAUAAAAUAUCAUAAAAUCAUUAAUCUUGAUCAGAUGAGAGCGGUGUUUGACUCAAGAUAGGAUAAAGUAAUUUAACGUAUCAUUUAGAAUCGAAAGAGAAGGAUCAAAUUCACCGACAAACGGAGAGAGAGGAUGAAAAACUUUACGGAAAAUCCAUUCAAACAAGUUUAUUCUUAGGGACAAUUUAACAUAACUAAUUCCCUUCUAAUGAAUUCAAAUUGGUCUUCAUUCAAGGCUUUUGUGAAUAUAUCUGCUAAUUAAUGCUUUGUGUCAAUGAAUUCUAGAACAACAUUAUUGUUAAGGACAUGAUCGCGUAUGAAAUGAUGCGUAACGUCGAUGUGCUUAGUUCUAGAGUGCUGAAUUGGAUUUUUGGUGAGACAUAUGGCACUAGUAUUAUCAUAUUUUAUGGGAAUGCUUUUUAAGUGAAUUUCAUAGUCUUCUAAUGUAUUUUUCAUCCAAACAACUUGUGCACAGCAUGAACUUGCAGCAAUGUAUUCGGCUUCCGCCGUAGAUAGUGCAACUGAAUUUUGUUUCUUGGAAGUCCAAGAAACAAGUGCAUGUCCUAAAAAUUGGCAUGUUCCGGAUGUACUUUUUCUAUCUAUCCUGCAUCCGCCAAAAUUGGCAUCUGCAUAAGCUAUUAAAUUGAAUUUUUCAGAUUUUGGAUACCACAAUCCUAAAUUUGGAGUUCCUUUAAGAUACCUAAAUAUUCUUUUAAUACUCUUAAGAUGAGAUAAUUUAUGAUUAGAUUGAAACCUAGCGCAAAGUCCUACACUAAACAUAAUAUCCAAUCUAGUCGCGGUGAGGUAGAGUAGACUACCUAUCAUUCCCUUAUAUGUUUUUUGAUCGAAAAUUUCACUAUUUUCAUCCAUAUCUAACUUAGUCAAAGUACUCAUAGUGGUGUUUAUUGCUUAUGAAUUAUCCAUGUUAAAUCGUUUUAACAAUUCUAAUGUAUAUUUAGAUUGGUUAAGAAAUAUACCAUCACUAAGUUGUUUGAUUUGUAAUCCCAAAAAGAAAGUUAAUUCACCCAUUAAACACUCAUAUCAAAUUCAUGACUCAUACAUUUGGCAAAUGAUUCACAUAGUGAUUCAUCCGAAGAGCCAAAAAUAAUAUUGUCAACAUAAAUUUGCACAAUAAAAAAAUUAUUUUCAAAAUGUUUGAUAAACAAUGUAGUAUCAACCUUGUCAUUGGUAAAAUUAUUUAAAAUAAGAAAGGAACUAAGCUUUUCAUACCAAGCUCUAGGAGCUUGUUUCAAUCCAUAGAGAGCCUUAGUCAAUUUGAAUACAUGAUUAAGAAGAAGAGAAUUUUCAAAUCCGGGAGGUUGUUCGACAUAUACUUCUUCGGAAAUAAAACCAUUCAAGAAAACACUUUUGACAUCCAUUUGAAACAGUUUAAAAUUAUUACUACUAGCAUAGGCAAGGAGCAUCCAUAUGGCUUCUAAUCGAGCCACGGGAGUGAAGGUUUCUUGGUAAUCGAUACCUUCUUCUUGGUUGAAACCUUUGGCCACUAAUCUAGCCUUGUUUCUAACCACGAUACCAUUUUCGUCCUACUUGUUUCUAAAGACCUAUUUAGUACCAAUGACUAAAUGGUCACUAGGUCUAGGAACAAGCUUCCAUACCUUAUUCCUCUCAAAUUGAUUCAAUUCCUCUUGCAUUGUAAUAACCCAAAAAUCAUCUUUUAUGGCCUCGUCAAUGCAUUUAGGUUCGAUUUGAGAAAGGAAGACGGCGUUAGCACAAAAAUUCUUGAAAGAGGAACGAGUUUGAACCCCUUUUGAUGUAUCUCCUAUAAUUAGCUCCUUUGGAUGAGCAUCUAUAUACUUCCAUUUCUUGGGUAAGGAAAUUUUGGAAAAAGAUGCAUCCAAGUUACUAUUUUGAGGAGGGGGUUCAUUUAAAUUCAAAUUAUCAAAACCAAGAUCAUCAUCAAAAUCAUUUUUCUUUAAAUUAGAAAUUUCAUUAAAAACUACAUGAAUAGACUCUUCUAUUACUAAGGUUCUUUUGUUAAAAACCCGAAAAGCCUUAGAAACAGAAGAGUAACCAAGAAAGAUGCCUUCAUCGGAUUUAGCAUCAAAUUUUCCUAAGGCAUCCCUUUCAUUCAAAAUAAAGCAUUUACAACCGAAAAAUUUAAAAUAGGAAAUAUUUUGUUUUUUGUUAUUCCAUAAUUCAUAGGGAGUUUUUGAUAGGGAUGGUCUUAUUAGAACCCUAUUCAUGAUCUAGCAGACCGUAUUUACGGCUUCGGCCCAAAAAUACUUGGGUAGACUAUGUUCAUUUAACAUCGUUCUUGCCAUUUCUUGUAGGUUUCUAUUUUUUCUUUCAACUACUCCAUUUUGUUGGGGAUUCCUCGGAGUGGAGAAGUUGUGAUUGUAUCCAUUAACUUCACAAAAAUUUUGAAAGUCAUGGUUUUGAAAUUCACCACCGUGAUCACUCCGAAUUGUUGAAAUCAUGAAACCAUUUUCGUUUUGAGUGAGUUUACAAAAUUUAGAGAAACACUUGAAACAAUCACUUUUGUGAGCUAAGAAAUAGGUCCAAGUGUAUCUAGUAUAGUCAUCCACAAUUACAAACGCAUAUUUGCUUCCCUCUAGACUUGUCGUGUCAAUUGGUCCAAAUAAGUCCAAAUGAAUCAAUUGUAAUGGUCUAGUGGUGCUAAUUUGAGUUUUUGGUUUGAAACUAGUUUUUAUUUGUUUACCUAGUUAACAUGCAUCACAUACUUUGUCCUUAAUAAACUUUAUAUUUGGAAUUCCUCGCACUAAUUCUCUAGAUGAGAUCUUCGAUAUUGGUUUCAUGCUUGCAUGGCCUAGUCUCCUAUGCCAAAGCCAAGCAUCAUCAUUUAAAGCGGAGAAGCACAUUUCAUUACUUAGUUCAUCAAAGUUGAUGGUGUAGACAUUAUUUUGUUUUAAUGCAAUCAUAGUCAUGUUAUGGUUUGGUUUUUCAAUAAUACACACAUUUGAUUCAAAUCUAACGAUAUAACCUUUAUCGCAUAAUUGAUGAACUAAGACUUUUCUAAGACCUUUCUCUCAAUCAAUUGCUUCUCAAAAAGUUGUAAUCUCAGUUGAGAUUUGAGGGGUAUUUAUAGGCCUCAAGAGGAUUUAAAUUUGGGCUCCAAAAUUUGAAUUUUCUUUGGUUCCCGAUGCUGGCGAUGCCACCGCCUAUCAGUGUUUGACACUGACAGUGGACUAGCGGUGCCACCGCCCAGCUCUCGGGUGCUGGGCGGUGCCACGGCCCAGCCAAGCGGUGCACCACCUGGCUCUCGGGUGCUGGGCGGUGCAACCGCCCAGUCUGGCGGUGCCACCGCCAGACCCUUCGGUUAACUGGUUGGGCUUCAAAUUUAGCGCAAACCAAGUCUAAUUUUGGGCCCAGUUGGCCCCUAACCAGGAUAUAGGAUUAUCUCUUAAUCCUAAUCCUAAUUACAUAUGAACUACAUAACAAAAAAACAUCCUAAGAAAGUUUUCAACCGCGAACGUCGAGUCUUGUUCCGGCGAGCUUUCCGACGAACUUCUUCCGACAGACUCCCAACAAGCUCUCGAUCUUGUUAUGACUUUAAUGAGUAGCCGAGCCUUCUCGGUGAUCUCCGUGAACUUCCGACGAUCUCUUCGGCAAACUUCCGAAAAUUCCGACAGGUUCCCGAUUUCUUCUCGGUUGGUUCCGGCAGCAUCUUCGAUGAUUCUUCGGUCUCUUAAACGUCCAUCGAACUUGACUCCGAUAUUCUUGCUUUAUGUUUUCUGGUUAUCGUAGUUAAUCCUGCACACUUAACUCAAUAAUAUGGAUUAGAUCAAUUAACCCAUGAAUUGAUUUCAUCAUCAAAAUCCGAGAUUCAAUAGAUUCAUCAUAUAAAAUGCAUACUAUACUCAAAUAUUAUAUUGAACUCAUAUUGUAAAAUGCAUACCAUAAGUUCAUGAUUCAUCAUUUGUAUGCAAACAUCAUAAAAACUCGUAUGGAAAAAUAUAUAUGGCUCAUUGUGCACACUAUAAGAUCAUGAUUCAAGUGAGUGAUCAAGAAAGUCUUGAAAGUAAAAAUUUAAUAAAUUCAUACAUUAAGACAGUUUAACAUCCCUAAUUCCCUUCUAAUGAAAUCAAAUUAUUCUUGAUUUAAAGGUUUUGUAAAGAUAUCAACUAAUUGAUGUUUUGUAUCAAUAAACUCUAAUAUUACAUCAUGAUUAUUAAUAAGAUCUCAUAUGAAGUGAUGCCUAAUGUCAAUGUGUUUAGUUCUAGAGUGUUAAAUAGGAUUUUUUGCUAAGCAUAUUGCACUAGUAUUAUCACACUUUAUAAGUAUGUUUUUCAGGUCAAUUCCAUAAUCCUUUAAAGUGUUUUUCAUCCAUAUAACUUGAGCACAUCAUACACCUGCAGCUAUGUACUUUUAGCUUCGGUUGUAGAUAAUGCAACCGAGUUUUGUUUCUUGGACGACCAAGAAACGAGUGUGUGUCCUAAAAAUUGACAUGUUCCGGAUGUGCUUUUUCUAUCUAAACUACAUCCAACAAAAUCCACAUCAGCAUAACUAAGCAAUUCAAAGUUCUUAGAUUUAGGAUACCAUAAUCCUAAUUUAGGAGUUCCUUUUAGGUAUCUUAAUACCCUUUUAACAGCUUUUAAAUAAGAUUGCUUAGGGUUAGAUUGAAAUUUAGUACAAAGUCCUACGCUAAACAUGAUGUCUGGUCUAGUUGUGGUGAGGUCAUGCAAACUACCUAUCAUACCCCUAUAAGCUUUUUGAUCAAAGCUUUCUCCACUUUCGUCAAUGUCUAACUUAGUGGAGGUACUCAUAGGAGUGUUGAUAGCUUAUGAACUAUCCAUGUUAAAUCUUUUUAGCAAAUCUAAAGCAUAUUUUGUUUGAUUAAGAAAAAUAUCAUUGCUAAGUUAUUUAAUUUGCAAGCCUAAAAAGAAGGUUAGUUCCCCCAUUAGGCUCAUUUCAAAUUGUAGACUCAUGCUUUUGGCCAAUGAUUCACAUAAGGAUUCAUUUGUAGAACCAAAAAUAAUAUUAUCAAUAUAAAUUUAAACAAUAAGAAAAUUAUUUUCAAAAUUUUUAAUAAACAAUGUAGUAUCGACCUUGCCUCUAGAGAAAUUAUUAUGAAUUAAAAAUGAGCUAAGUGUCUCAUACCAAGCCCUUGGGGCUUGUUUCAAUCUAUAGAGAACUUUAGUCAAUUCAAACACAUGAUUAGGAAAAUUAUCAUUCUCAAAUCCGAGAGGUUGUUCAACAUAAACUUCUUCGAAGAUAAAGUCACUAAGAAAAGUACUUUUAACAUCUAUUUGAAACAACUUAAAAUUAUUACUACUAGCAUAGGCAAGGAGCAUCCUUAUAGCUUCUAAUCGUGCCAUAGUUGCGAAGGUUUCUUUAUAAUCGAUACCUUCUUUUUGGUUGAAACCUUUGGCCACUAAUCUAGCCUUGUUUCGAACUAUAAUACCAAAUUCAUCUUGCUUGUUUCUAAAGACCCAGUUAGUACCAAUAACUAAAUGGUCACUUGGUCUAAGAACAAGCUUCCAUACUUCAUUUCUCUCAAAUUGAUUCAAUUCUUGUUGCAUUGCGAUGACCCAUGAAUCAUCUUUUAUGGCUUUGUCAAUGCAUUUAGGUUCAAUUUGGGAGAGAAAAGUAGCGUUGGCACAAAAAUUCUUAAGAGAAGAACGAGUUUGAACCCCUUUCGAUGUGUCUCCUAUAAUUAGCUCCUUAGGAUGAGCAUCUACAUACUUCCAUUCCUUCGACAAAGAAGGUUCGGAAGAAGAUACAUCCAAGUUGCUAGAUGGAGAAAGGGAUUCAUAUAAAUUCAAAGUAUCAAAUUUAAGAUCAUCAUCAAAAUUAUUUUUCUAUACUUCAAAAAUUUUAUUAAAAACAACAUGAAUAGAUUCUUCUAUAACUAAAGUUUUUUUAUUGAAGAUUCGAAAAGCCUUUGAAAUUGAAGAAUAACUAAGAAAAAUUCCCUCAUCGGAUUUUGCAUUAAACUUUCCUAAGGUAUCUUUUUCAUUCAAAAUAAAACAUUUACAUCCGAAAACUUUGAAGUAUAAAACGUUGGGCUUUUUAUUGUUCUAUAACUCAUAAGGAGUUUUGAAAAGUAAUGGUCUUACUAGAACUCUAUUCAUAACAUUGCAUGUCGCAUUUACGACUUCGGCCCAAAAAUAUUUGGGUAGGCUAUGUUCGUUUAACAUGGUUCUAGCCAUUUAUUAUAAGUUUUUAUUCUUUCUUUCUACUACUUUAUUUUGUUGAGGAUUUCUUGGAGUAGAAAAGUUGUGGUUGUAUCCAUUAGAUUCAUAAAAUUCUUGAAAAUCACGGUUUUAAAAUUCACCACCGUGAUCACUUUAAAUUGAUGAAAUCAUAAAACCCUUUUCACUUUGAACAAGUUUACAAAACUUGGAGAAAUACCUAAAGCAAUCAUUUUUGUAUGCUAAGAAGUAAGUCCAAGUAUAUCUACUAUAAUCGUCAAUAAUAACAAAGGCAUAUUUGCUACCUCUUAGGCUUGAUAUAGCAAUUGGUCCAAACAAGUCCAUAUGGAUAAAUUGCAAUAGUCUAGAGGUGCUUAUUUGAUUCUUUGGUUUGAAACUACCUUUUAUUUGUUUUCCUAGUUGACAUGCAUCACACACAUUGUCUUUAACGAACGUAAUAUGAGGAAUUCCUCUCAUAAGUUCAUUAGAUGAGAUUUGAGAGAUUAGUUUCAUGCUAGCAUGACAUAAUCUCCUAUGCCAAAGCCAAGUAUCAUCAUUCAAGAUCGAAAAAUAUAUUUCAUUGCAAAGAUCAUUAACGUCAAUAGUGUAUACAUUAUUUUGUUUUAGUGCAAUCAUAGAUGUGUUUUUGUAUGGUUUUUCAAUAAUGCAAGCAUUAGAUUCAAAUUUAACAAUAUAUCCUUUAUCACACAAUUGACUAAUGCUCAAGAGGUUAUACUUUAAGCCAUCAACCAACAACAUAUCUUCAAUAAAAAUAUUGGAUUUAUUACCUAUGGUUCCUUUGUCAAUGAUUUUAUCCUUGUUGUUGUCUCCGAAGGUGACAUAUCCUUCGUCUAGGCUAGUGAGCUUAGAGAAUUGAGAUGGAUCUCCGGUCAUAUGCCUUGAGCAUCCACUAUCAAGGUACCAUCUCUUACUCCUAGCUUAUGAUGGUACAUUUUUCUAUAAAAAAAAGAUGAUUUUUAGGUACCCAUUUGACCUUGGAUGCCUCAAAAAAAUCGAUUUACAUAUCGUAUCAUAUUGCAUUGAGUCAUUUGAGGUUCUUUUAGGAACCCAAAUCAAUCUAUAUAGACUACAUCUUUUAAGUAGACAUUUAUAGGCAAUAUGUCCGAGUUUGUAACAAAAGUUGCAUUUGAUGUCAGGUAAAAUAUGCAAGGUUAGGCCUUUAACAAAGGUGGUUGGAUUUUGGUGAGAGCUACUCACAAAUCCAAUUCUACUUUUUCUAUAAACGUGAUCCUUAUUGGCAAGGAUCAUAUUCAAAUAUUUGCUACCAACCUCAAAUUUUUCUAAGGUUUCAUUGAAUAGUAAGUUUUCCUUUUUAAGUAUUUGUAGUUCAUCACAUUUCGUACAAGGAGUUAAACUACUAUUAUACUCAACUUUUAAUUUAUCCAAAUCACUAACAAGAGAAGCAUGCUCCUUUUUUAACAAUUUAUAUUUUUUACUAAUUAAUUUGCAUUCAUCAAAUAAGUCAUGAAAAUAACUUAAUAAUUAAUCAAAAGAUAAAUUUGCAUCAAAUGAACUUGUUACCUCAUCUUCAAUGGUCAUUAGUGUAUAGUGAGCAACUUGCUCGGUGAUGGUAGGCUCCUCUUCUUCGGAUGCACUUGAGUCGUCUCAUGUUACUUUAAGAGCCUUCUUCUUUGAUUACCUCUUCUUGGCUAGAGGAUAUUUGCUCUUGUAAUGUCCCGGUUUUUUGCAUUCGUAGCAUAUUACUUAAUCUUUUUUGGGUUCAAAUUUAUUUUUAGUAUCAUUUUUAAAUUUAUUUAUUUUUAUGAAUUUUUUGAAUUUCCUUGUUAAGAGUGCCAAGUCUUCAUCAAGGUCCUCAUCACUUGAGUUUUCUUUCAAGUGGUCAUCUUAGGUUUUUAGUACCAUAUUCUUCCUAUUCUUUGGAAGGGUGUCCUCAAGCUCUUCAUGAGCUUUACAAGUCAUCUCAUAGGUCAUUAGUGACCCAAUUAGUUCUUUAAGAGGAAAAUUAUUUAGGUCUUUGGUCUCUUGAUUGGCCAUGACGUUAGGGUCCCAACUCUUUAGAAGGGAUCUUCAAAUUUUAUUAACAAGUUUAAAANNNNNNNNNNNNNNNNNNNNNNNNNNNNNNNNNNNNNNNNNNNNNNNNNNNNNNNNNNNNNNNNNNNNNNNNNNNNNNNNNNNNNNNNNNAUAUUCUUCCUAUUCUUUGGAAGGGUGUCCUCAAGCUCUUCAUGAGCUUUACAAGUCAUCUCAUAGGUCAUUAGUGACCCAAUUAGUUCUUUAAGAGGAAAAUUAUUUAGGUCUUUGGUCUCUUGAUUGGCCAUGACGUUAGGGUCCCAACUCUUUGGAAGGGAUCUUAAAAUUUUAUUAACAAGUUUAAAAUUUGAUAAACCUUUACCAAGUCCUUUUAGACUAUUGACAACAUCCAUAAAUCGGGUGUAUAUGUCUCCAAUGGUCUCACUCAGUUUCAUUCGAAACAACUCAUAAAUAUGCACUAAAAGAUUAAUUUUUGACUCCUUCACUCUACUAGUGCCUUCAUGAGUCACUUAGAGUGUGUGCUAAAUAUCAAAAGUACUUUCACAAAUAGAUACACGAUUAAAUUUGUUUUUGUCUAAGACACAAAACAAAGCAGUUUCAUAGCCUUUGCAUUUAAAGCAAAAGUCUUCUUCUCCAACUCAUUCUAAUCGUUCAUUGGAAGAGAAGACUUUUGAAAGCUAUUUUCUAUAAUAUUUCAUAAUUCAAAAUCUAUUGAAAUUAGGAAGAUCCUCAUUCUAGUCUUCCAAUAUGUAUAAUCCGUCCUAUUGAACAAGAGCGGAUGUGUAAUUGAAUGACCCUCUAGGUUACCGGUAAAUGUCAUCUCUCUUAAGUUUAAAACCAAAUGAGAGUGAACCUUGCUCUGAUACCACUUGUUAUGAUCAAGAGCGGCACUAAGAGGGGGUUGAAUUAGUGCAGCAAAAAACUUUUUUGAUUUUAGAAAAUAUUUAUUUCGAUUAAAACUGAUUCCGACGAAAAUGGUUUCGAUUCAAUCCGUUUCGGAGAGAUUAUGAACUUGAAAGCUUUCAUAAAAGUGUAAGAGAGGAUUAAGGAGAUUUGCAGUAAUGUAAAUUGCACAAAUAAAAAGCAAAUCAAAAUUUAGAGUGGUUCGGUCAAUGUGACCUACAUUUACUUUCAGAUUCCUCCUCCGAUGAGGUUUCCGAUGUUCACUAAAGGCCUUCCUUCAAUAGGCUAAGGCUAACCACCUUUUAUAGCUCUUUCUAAUUUUGUCGGGUUUAGGAGACAACCCUUACAAGUCUCACUCCUCUUUCUUGAAUGGUUACAAGGCUAAGAGAUGAAAGAGGAGAACUCUUUUCUUUUACAACACUUUAAGACUCAAGAACUCAAGAUUAUGCUAAUAACUUUCGUGCCCUUUCAUGCAGAAAAGGAUGGGGUAUUUAUAGACUCAAAUGACUUUAAAAAAUGGAGCCAAAAAGUGUCUCAUCUCGGAUUUUCGAGGUACUAGCGGUACCACCGCCUAACACCUGACACUGGGCGGUACUACCGCUCAGUCUAAGUAGAACCACUACUUAAUCGAGCUUAGAGACCGAGCUCUGGCGGUACCACCGCCUGAUAAGGGUGGUACCACUAAUGGCAACAUUAACUGCUAGUGGUACCAUCGCCCAAUCUCGUCGGUACCACCCCCCAAACCACCUGGGGUGCUGCUUUCCAAGCGGUGCCACCACCAGUUAGGAAUUCAGCAUCCUGGUUGGGCCUUGACUCCGGCCCAAACCAGCCCAACUCUGAGCCCAGUUGGCCCCUAAUAGAUUUGAUGAGAUUACCUCCCAAAUCAACUCUAAUUAUCAUUCUAACUAUGAUUAAGACAAGCAUGGUUCGGUACGUUGAUUUUUCACUCGGCGAUCUUCCGGUGAACUUUUUGGUGAGUCUUUCGGCGUGCUUCCAACGAUCUCCUGACGAGCUUUCAGUGAGUCUUCCAACAUGCUUCCAGUGAUCUCACGAUGAAUUCUCGACGAGCUUCUGGUAUAUCGUCCGAGUCUUCGACUUCGGCUCAUCAUCUGCUUUACGCCUUACUGCUAUUGUAGUUAAUCCUACACACUUAUCUCAACAUAUGGAUUAGAUCAAACAAUUUACUAAUUGAUUUCAUCAUCAAAAUCCGAGAUUCAACAUAUUUUUUUCCACUAAAUUAAAGGAAAAUAUUCUUAGGUCACUAAGGAGGACCCUUAGUGGAGUUAGUCAAACGUAUGCGUGUUUUUCAUGACGUAGAAUUAUUCAAUAGUUUCUUAAAAUAAUAAUAAUAAUAAAUUUUUUUAUUACAUCAAAUGAUAUAAAUGAUGCUCACAUAUUCAAAUAUCAAACCUAUUAUUUAUGUAAUAUUACUCUAAUAAACUUAGAUGUCUCAAAUACUUAUCAUAUUACUCUUGCCACUAAGAAAGAAAUAAAAAAAAGCUCUUGAGAUAUCCACUUUGAAAAGGUGUUGUUGGAAAUUCAUUCUUGUGGAUCAUAAAAUAUUUAAUUAGUUAGUUGGGUAGUUUAUUUUUAUAACGAUUAAUGACUAUUAGGGGGAAAAUAACAAGGGUUAAUAAAUUUUUUUGUGGGAACGUGUAGAUUCCUUUAUAUGUAAUGGAAAAGGUUAAUAUAAUUCUUCCUAGAAAUUAUAGACUUGCAUAUGAGGUUUAUCCUUCAGCCAAGUUUGCAUCCACACCUAUCUUUCUACUUUUCCACUAAAUUAAAAGGAAAGUAUUCUUAGAUCACUAAGGAGGAUCCUUGGUGGAGUUAGUCAAACCUACUUGUGCUUUUCAUGACAAAGAAAAAGAUGAUGAAUUAUACAAUAGUUUCUUAAAAUAAUAAUAAUAAUAAUUUUUUUAUUACAUCAAAUGAUAUAAAUGAUGCUCACAUAUUCAAAUAUCAAACCUAUUAUUUAUGUAACAUUACUCUAAUCAACUUAGAUGUCUUAAAUACUUAUCACAUUGCUCUUUCUACUAAGAAAGAAAUAAAAAAAGCUCUUGGGAUAACCACUUUAAAAAGGUGUUGUUCUAAAUUUAUUCUAAAACUAUUAUGGAUCAUAAAAUAUUUAGUUAGUUAGUUGGGUAGUUUGUUUUUAUAACGAUUAAUGACUAUUAGGGGGAAAAUAACAAGGGUUAAUAUUUUUUUUUUGGAAUGAGCAGUUUUCUUUAUAUGUAAUGGAAAAGGUUAAUAUAAUUCUUUCUAGAAAUUAUGGACUUGCAGUCGAGACGAGGUUUAUCCUUCGGCCAAGUUUGAUUCACAUCUAUCUUUCUUCUUUUCCACUAAAGAAAAGGAAACGUACAUGUGUUUAGUCAAGGGUCACUAAGAAGGACCCUUGGUGGAGUUAAUCAAACGUAUAUGUGUUUUUCAUGACGAAGAAGAAGACGAUGAAUUAUGUAAUAAUUUUUUAAAAUAAUAAUAAUAAUAUUUUUAUUACAUCAAAUGAUAUAAAUAAUGCUCAUAUAUUCAAAUAUCAAACCUAUUAUUUAUGCAAUAUUACUCUAAUCAACUUAGAUGUCUCAAUAGAAAUUAAUACCUAUUAAAAUUAUCUUCCAAGAAGGCUACAUCGUUAGUUAUCCUCCCUUAUUUAGCUAGUUGGUAUAUCCAUUGAAAGUUGACAAUGUUGACUUACAAAUCUUAUUGUAUACCAAUCAUUAAGAACUUGGUGUAUAUAUUGAAAGUUGGCUAUGUUGAUUACAAAGUUGAUUAGCCAAUCUUACUAUCAUUGUGUAAAUUCCAAAGGUGUCAUCGCGCUUGUAUGUGAUGUGAUCGUAGACAAAAUUGAUCUAUUUCAUAGAGUCUACGCAAACAAUUAUGUUUUACUAUCCACAAUGUUGAGUCUACGCAAGGCUUUCAAAAUAACCUUAUCCUCAACUUAGGUUUGAGGUUUGCAACUUACAGCCCACAUAGGCCAUCAUAAGAAGUCGACUUUGGCUCAUUUUAAGUAUGUAUCCCCAAACUUACUCGAUGAAUAAGAACCAUCACAUAAAAUGACAAAGUCAUGCAUCCUCUCUUGCAAUGAAAUUCUCUUCUAUAAAUUUGUCUAUUCGUCUUAGGGUUCUAGAUAUUUUUCAGAAAAUCAAUAAUGAUUGACACUAAUUUCCUAAAUAUAUACAAGAGAUUUGAUUUAUCAUUUUAAUUCCAAUGAUCAUACAUUUUCCUUUUUAUAUGUUUUAUUUUAUAUUUCAUAUAAAUAUGCUCAAGUUUUUCAUAUGGAAACCAUCCAUCUUGUUUAAAAUCGAAAUAGUAAAUUUUAUCACCACAAAGAUUGAUAAGCCAUAAAUCAUAAGAAUCAUCAUCCAUAAAUUCAAAAUAUAAACUCAUUAAGCAUUAUCAUUAUGCUUUAUUAGAUCAUCAACCAUGGUUUCAUGGAACAUAAGGCAUCUUUAAUCAAAAUUGAAAAUCAUCAAUUUAGAUACACAUUAAUAAAUUUUAAAAAAAAAUACAUAGGAUUAAUCAUUAGAUUUAAAUCUAACAUUUUGUUCCUUUAUCAUAAAACAUACAAUUGUCAUGAUCUUUUUUUCAAAAAAGCUAGAAAAAGAAGCAUGAUAUAUAUUUUUAUUUACUAAUUAAUUUAAAAAUAACUCAUAAAAUGCAUUAUGUAAUUUCAAAAAAAAUAAAAGGGUUUUAGUUACCUCGUCAUUGAAAAUUGUUAAGGCGUAGUUUGUUUGUCACCUUGCCUUUGUUGGUUUAUUCUUCAUCUUCGGAUGAACUUGGUUCGUUCCAAGCCACCUUAAGUGCUCUCUUCUUCUUUGGCAACUUCUUUUUAAGUUUAUUUUUAUUCCUUAAUUUUUGUUUAAUGAACAUUUUAAAUUUUAUAGUGAGAAGUUCGAGUUCAUCAUCACUUGAGCUUUCGCUCGAGUGGUCUUCAUUUGUUCUAAGUGUCAAAUCCUUCUUGUUCUUUGGAAGGUUGUUCUUAUGUUCAUCAUAUGUCUUGCAUGUCAUUUUAUAGGCUAUUAAUGACCCAAUAACUUCUUCAAGUGGGAAAUAGUUCAAGUUUUUUUAUUCUUGAAUAGCCAUUACUUUGGAAUUUCAAUUUUUAGAAAGUGAUCAUAAAACUUUACUCACAAGUUCAAGAUUCGAAAAACUUUUACCAAGAGUUUUUAGACUAUUGAUGACAUUUGUAAAACAGGUGUACAUGUCUCCAAUACUUGGUUCUAUUCGAAAUAAUUCAAAAUCAUGCAUCAAAAGAUUUAUCUUAGAAUCUUUUACUAUACUAGUGCCUUCGUGUGUGGUUUCAAGAGUGUGCCAAAUAUCGAAAGCUAUUUCGCAGGUAGAAACCCAGAUGAAUUCAUUCUUGUCUAAGGUACAAAAUAGAGCAUUCAUAGCUCUAGCAUUUAAAGAAAAAGUCUUCUUCUCCAAAUCAUUCUAAUCGUUCAUUGGAAGAGAAGACCUUUGAAAACCGCUUUCGAUAAUAUUUCAUAAAUUCAAAUCCAAGGAAAGUAAGAAAACUCUCAUUCGAGUUUUCCAAUAAGUGUAGUCUAUCUCAUUAAAUAUGGGAGGACAAAUGAGAGAGUGACCCUCUUGAAAGUUGAAAAAAGUCAUUUCUCUUGGGUGUUAAAACAAAUGAGAAAUAUCGUGGCUCUGAUAUCAACUAUUGCGAACGAGUCGGCACUAAGAGGGGGGGAGGGUGAAUUAGUGCAAUGGAUAAAAUCAUGUUGGUUCAAAAAAUUCAUUUCGAUUAAACCCGUUUCAUAAAAAUGCUUAAAAUGAAAGAAUAUGAAAGAAUAUAGCAAGUAAAGAAGUUUACAGUUAAAGUAAAUUGCUCAAAAGAAAUACAAACUGAGUUUAUAGUGGUUCGGUUAUCGUGAUCUGCAUCCACUCCUGAUUCCUCUUCCGUCAAUGCCAUCGACAUCCACUAGUAGUCUUCCUUCAAUGGUCAAAGACCAACUACCCUUUUAUACCCUUUUUCUCCUUUUUAUAGGUUUAGGAGAUAACCUUUUACGAGCACACACUCCUCUCUAAAUAGAAUUCUAAGUUUAAGCUAGAGGAGGGGAUCUCUCAAGUAAUUUAUAUAGUGUUUUCUCACUUUUAAGUUCUCUAUGCUUAUGUAUGUUAACCAGGGAUGAGAGAGGUAUUUAUAGGCCUCAAGUUGAUUCAAACUUGGAGCCUAAAAAUAUCUCAUCCUAGGUUUCUCGGGUCUUGGUGGUACCACCGCCUAGAGCACUAACACUGGGCGGUACCACCUCCUAGUUUGGUGGUACCACCACCUGGGAGUCUAUGUCUGGGCGGUACCAUUGCCUGACAUUGACACUGGGCAAUACCACCACCUAGUCUGAUGGUACCAUUGUUGACAUAGUCUCGAAUAUUGUGCCAUGACGGUGCCACCUAUUGGGUCAUUGUUUGAGCCUUUCACUUGGCCCAACACAAUCCAUACAUGAGCCCAACUGGCCCCUAAUUGGGCUGGCCCAAUUCCCAUCCCAAUUAUGUUCUAACUAUGAAAUUUAAGACACAUACUAAGCUAAACAAGUCUGGCAAAUCUAGGUUUCUUCUGGUGAGCUUCUAGCGAUCUUUCGGUGAACUUCCGAUGAUCUCUCGAAAAUGUUCCAGCGGACUCCCAGCAAGCUACUGGACUUCAUAACGAUCUUGGUGAGUUCUGAUGAGCUUCUUCGGCAAGCUCCUGGACUUCUCAGUCAAUUCUGACAGAACUUCCGAUGAAUGUUUGGACUUCCGAUGAACUCUCGAACUCCCAACGAAGUCUCAUUCUUGACUCUAGGACUUCAUUUUGCUUUAUGUCUUGCUAUCGUAGUUAAUCUUGCAUGCUUAAAACUCACUUUGAUUUAGACAAUUAUUAUAAAGCUUAAAUCAAGUAUUGUCCAGCUUAUCAUUGGUUUAUCGACGCUUCAUCCGUUUAUUCGGUGCAUCGUCCUCUCUUACGAUCUAUUGCCCAAUCUGUCAAUUGACCUCUGCAACUCCAAUUUUCUUGGCGCAAUUUUCGCCCUUCUUGGCCCGAUGCCCGAACCCAUAGCCCGAAGCCUUCUGUCGAUACAUCGACCGAUCCUUUGGCUCGACGUCCAAUCUUCUGACAUGUUUUUCUCCGGCCCAACAUGAUUAUAUUGAAUCUUGGAUUUUGAUGAUGAAAUCAAUUGUUAGUUGUUUGAUCUAAUCUAUAUAUUGAGAAAAGUGUGCAGGAUUAACUACAAUAGUAGUAAGACAUAAAGCAAGUAUUGUGCCGGAAUUAAGAUCAAGAUCUCGUUGGAAGUUCAAGAAUUUAUCGGAAGUCCGGACGUUUAUCGGAAGUUCUGCCAGAACCAAUCGAGAAGUCUAGAAACUUACCAAAGAAGCUCGUCAAAACUUGCCAAGAAGAUCAUCGUAAAGUCCAAGAGCUUACCAGGAGUCCCCUAGAACAUUGCCGAGAGUUCAUUGGAAGAUCGCCGAAAAAUCGUGGAAACUCGUCAAAAGAGCGAUUGACGUAUCGGAACAAGAGUGCUUUAAAUAUGUCUUAGUUAUUGUAGUUAGAUAGUAGAUUAAGUUAGAAUUGGGAGGUAAUCCCACUAACUUAAUUAGGGGCUAAUUGGGCCCUUAAUAGGGCUGAAUUAGGCUGGAUUAAAUAGCCCAUUUAGCCCUUGAAAAUAUGGCUAACGAUGACACCGCCUCGGAGACCCAGUCUCCCAGGUGGUCUGGGCGGUGAAACCGCUGGCAGUUAAUGCUGCCAGUAGUGGUACCACCCCUUUUAGGCGGUGGUACCAUCAGAGCUCGAUCUCCGAGCUCUAUCGGACGAUGGUACCACCCACUAUCAGACUGCAGGUGGUAGUAUUACCCAAUAAUGGCGUUGGUACCACCAAUACCUCGAAAUCCGGGGAUAUGACACUUUUUGGCUCCAAGUUUGAAACCAAUGGGGUCUAUAAAAAUUUCACCCUUUUUUGCAUGAAAGAACAUGAAAGUAUUGGCAUAAUCUUGAGUCUUUGAAGUGUUAAAGAGUUGUAAAAGUACUAGAGUCCUCCUCCUCACUUUCUAAGUAUUGAGAUCAUUCAAGAGAGGUGUGAGACUUGUAAGGGCUGUCUCCUAAGCCCGUGAAAAGGAGAAAGUGCUGUAAAAGGUGGUUGGUCUUCACCUAUUGAAUGAAGGCCUUUAGUAGACGCCGGUGACCUCAACGGAGGAGGAAUCCGAAAGUGGAUGUAGGUCACAACGAUCGAACCACUCUAAAUUAUAGUUUGCUUUUCAUUUGUGCAAUUUUCAUUACUGCAAACCUCCUUAAUCUUCUCUUUGCACUUUUACGAAAGCUUUCAAAGUCAAUCUCUCUUCGAAAUGGAUUGAAUCAAAACAAAUAUUUUUCGGAAUCGGGUUUAAUCGAGAAAGUUUUUCACUACACUAAUUCACCCCCCCUCUUAGUGCACUCUUGAUUCUAACAAUUGGUAUCAGAGCUUGGUUCACUCUCAUUUAGUUUAAAACCAAAGACAGAUGACAUUUGCCAGUAACCAAGAGGAUCAUUCAAUUACACGUUCACCCAUAUUCAAUAGGACGAAUUACACAUAUUGGAAGAUUAGAAUGAGGAUCUUCCUAAUUUCAAUGGAUUUCAAAAGUCUUCUCUUCCAAUGAACAAUUGGAAUGAGUUGAAGAAGAAGACUUUCGCUUUAAACUCUAAGGCUAUGAAUGCCUUGUUUUGUGCUUUAGAUAAAAAUGAGUUCAAUCGUGUGUUUAUUUUUGAAAUAGCUUUUGAUAUUUGGCACACACUUGAAAUAACUCAUGAAGGCACUAGUAGAGUGAAGGAGUCAAAAAUUAAUCUUUUAGUGCACACUUAUGAGUUGUUUCGGAUGAAACCAAGUGAGACCAUUGGAGACAUAUAUACCCGAUUUACGGAUGUCGUCAAUGGUUUAAAAGGACUUGGUAAAGGUUUCUUGGAUUUUGAACUUGUUAAUAAAUUUUUAAGAUCCCUUCCAAAGAGUUGGGACUCUAAAAUCACAACUAUUCAAGAGACCAAAGAUUUAAAUAACUUUCCUCUUGAAGAACUUAUCGGGUCACUAAUGACCUAUGAGAUGACUUGUAAUGCUCAUAAAGAGGUUAAAAACAACCUUCCAAAGAACAGGAAGGAUAUGACACUAAGAAUUCAAGAAGAUCACUUGAAAGAAAAUUCAAGUGAUGAGGACUUUGAUGAAGACUUGGCACUCUUGACAAGAAAGUUAAAAAAAAUCAUAAAAAGGAAUAAAUUUAAAAUUGACAAUAAAAAUAAAUUUGAACCCAAGAAAGAUCAAGUAAUAUUCUACAAAUGCAAGAAACCGGGACAUUACAAGAGUGAAUGUCCCUUAGGAAAGAAGAAACAACCAAAGAAGAAGAAGGCUCUUGUAGCAUCAUGGGAUGACUCAAGUGCAUCCGAAUAAGAGGAGCCAACCAACACCGAGCAAGUUGCUCACUAUGCACUAAUGACUAUUGGAGAUGAGGUAACAAGUUCAUUAGACGCAAAUUUAUAUUUCGAUAAGCUUUUAAGUGCUUUUCAUGAAUUAUUUGAUGAAUGAAGAACCUUGAGUAAAAAGUAUAACUCUUUGAAAAAGGAACAUGCUUCUCUUGUUAGCGAUUUUGAUAGACUAAAAAUUGAGCAUGAUGAUAAUUUAGCUCCCUGCACAAAAUACCAUGAAGUAGAAAUACUUAGAAAGGAAAACUUGCUACUCAAAGAAACCUUAAAAAAGUUUGAGGUUGGUAAUAAGUCCUUGAACAUGAUCCUUGCUAACAAGAGUCAUGUUCAUAAAAAAGGUGGAAUCGGAUUUACGAGUAGCUCUCAUCAAAAUCCAACCACCUUUGUUAAAGACCAUAAUUUACAUAUUUCACCCCAAAACAAAUGUAAAUUUUAUUACAAAUUUGGGCAUGUAGCUUAUCAUUGUCCAUUUAAGAAAUAUAAUCUACACAAAUUGAUUUGGGUUCCUAAAAGAACCAUAAAGAACUCCAUGCAAAAUAAUAAGUUAAGCUAAUCGAUUUUUGAGGCACCCAAGGUCAAAUAGGUACCUAAAAAUCAUCCUUUUUUGUAGAAAUGUUUACCAUCACAAGCUAGGAGCAAGAGAUGGUACCUUGAUAGUGGAUGCUCAAGGCAUAUAACCAGAGAUCCAUCUCAAUUCUCUAAGCUCACUAGCAUAGACGAAGGAUAUGUCACCUUUGGAGACAACAACAAGGUGUAAAAUCAUUGGCAAAGGAACCAUAAGUAACAAAUUCAAUUUCUUUAUUAAAGAUGUGUUAUUGGUUGAUGGCUUAAAGCAUAAUCUCUUAAGCAUUAGUAAAUUGUAUGAUAAAGGAUGCAUCAUUAGAUUUGAAUCCAAUGCUUACAUUAUUAAAAAACCAUGCAAAAACACAUCUAUGAUUGUCCUAAAAUAAAAUAAUGUAUACACUAUCGACAUUGAUGAUCUUUGUAAUAAAAUAUAUUUUUCGAUUUUGAAUGAUGACACUUGGCUUUAGCAUAGGAGAUUGGUCAUGCUAGCAUGAAACUACUCUCUCAAAUCUCAUCUGAAGAACUUGUAAGAGGAAUUCCUCAUAUAAAGUUCGUUAAAGACAAUGUGUGUGAUGCAUGUCAACUAGGAAAAUAAAUAAAAAAUAGUUUCAAACCAAAGAAUCAAAUAACCACCUAUAGACCAUUGCAAUUGAUCCAUAUGGACUUGUUUGGACCAAUUGCUACAUCAAGCCUAAGAGGUAGCAAAUACGCCUUUGUCAUCGUGGAUGAUUAUAGUAGAUACACUUGGACUUACUUCUUAGCACACAAAAGUGACUGCCUUAGGCAUUUUUCUAAGUUUUGUAAACUUAUUCAAAAUGAAAAGGGUUUUAUGAUUUCAUCAAUUCGAAGUGAUCAUAGUGGUGAUUUUCAAAACUAUGAUUUCUAAGAAUUUUAUGAAUCUAAUGGAUAUAAUCAUAAUUUUGCUACUCCAAGAAAUCAUCAACAACAUGGAGUAGUAGAAAGAAAAAAAUAGAAACUUGUAAGAAAUAGCUGAAACUAUGUUAAACGAACAUAGCCUACCCAAAUAUUUUUGGGCCGAAGCCGUAAAUAUAGUAUGCUAUGUCAUAAAUAGAGUUCUAGUAAGACCAUUGCUUUCAAAAACUCAUUAUGAGUUAUGGAACAACAAAAAACCUAAUGUUUCAUAUUUUAAAGUCUUCGGAUGCAAAUGUUUUAUUUUGAAUGAAAAAGAUACCUUAGGAAAGUUUGAUGUAAAAUCCGAUGAAGGAAUUUUUCUUAGCUAUUCUUCUAUUUCUAAUGCCUUUCGUAUUUUUAACAAAAGAACAUUGGUUAUAGAAGAGUCCAUUCAUGUUGUUUUUAAUGAAGUUUUCGAAGUUAAGAAAAAUGAUCAUAAUGAUGAUGUUAAUUUUGAUGCUUUAAAUUUAAAUGAAACCCUUUCUUCAUCUAGCAACUUGGAUGCAUCUUCUCCCGAAACAUCCUUACGUAAGGAAUGGAAGUAUGUAGAUACUCAUCCUAAGGAGCUAAUCAUAGGAGACAUAACAAAAGGGAUUCAAACUCGUUCUUCUCUUAAGAAUUUUUAUGCCAACACUGCUUUUCUCUCCCAAAUUGAACCUAAAUGCAUUGACAAGGCAUUGAAAGAUGAUUCAUGGGUUAUCGCAAUGCAAGAAGAGUUGAAUCAAUUUGAGAGAAAUAAGAUGUGGAAGCUUCUUUUAAGCCAAAUGAUUAUUUAGUUAUAAGUACUAAAUGGGUCUUUAGAAACAAGCAAGAUGAAUUUGGUAUCGUGGUUAGAAACAAGAUUAGAUUAGUGGCCAAAGGAUUUAACCAAGAAGAAGGUAUUGAAUAUGAAGAAACAUUCGCUCCUGUGGCAUGAUUAGAAGCCAUAAGGAUGCUCCUUUCCUAUACUAGUAGUAAUAAUUUUAAGUUAUUUCAAAUAGAUAUUAAAAGUGUUUUUCUUAAUAGCUUUAUUUCCGAAGAAAUUUAUGUUGAACAACCUCUCAAAUUUGAAAAUGAUAAUUUCCCUAAUCAUGUGUUUAAAUUGACUAAAGCUCUUUAUGGAUUGAGACAAGCCCCAAGGGCUUGGUAUGAGAGAUUUAGCUCCUUUCUUAUACAAAAUAUUUUUUCUAAAGGCAAGAUUGAUACCACAUUAUUUAUUAAAAAUUUUAAAAAUAAUUUUCUUAUUAUUCAAAUUUAUGUUAAAGAUAUCAUUUUUGAGUCUACUAAUGAAUCUUUAUGUGAAUCGUUUGCAAAGAGUAUGAGUCUAGAAUUUGAAAUGAGUUUGAUGGGGGAACUAACCUUCUUUUUAGGUUUACAAAUCAAACAACUUAGUAAUUAUACUUUUCUUAAUCAAAUAAAAUAUGCAUUAGACUUGCUAAAAUGGUUUAAUAUAGAAUGCUCAAAGGCUAUCAAUACUCCUAUGAGUACCUCCACGAAGUUAGACAUUGACGAAAGUGGAGAAAGAUUUGAUCAAAAAGCUUAUAGAGGUAUGAUAGGUAGUUUACUAUACGUCACCGCAAUAAGACCAUAUAUCAUGUUUAGCGUAGGACUUUGUACUAGGUUUCAAUCUAAUCCUAAGCUUUCUCAUCUUAAAGCAAUUAAAAAAAUCUUUAGAUAUCUUAAAGGAACUACUAAUCUAGGAUUAUGGUAUCCAAAAUCUGAAAACCUUGAGUUAAUUACUUAUGCUGAUCCGGAUUUCCGUGGAUGUAGAUUAGAUAGAAAAAGCACAUCUGGAACAUGUCAAUUCUUAGGUCAUGCACUUAUCUUUUCGUCUUCCAAGAAACAAAACUCGGUUGCACUAUCUAUAACCGAAGCCAAAUUCAUAGCUGCUAGUGCAUGUUGUGCACAAGUUGUAUGGAUGAAAAAUACAUUAGAAGAUUAUAGAAUUUAUCUUAAUAAUAUUCUCAUAAAAUGUGAUAACAUAAGUGUAAUAUAUUUAAUGAAAAUUCCUAUUCAACACUCUAGAACUAAACAUAUUGACAUUAGGCAUCAUUUCAUAAGAGAUCAUAUUAAUAAUCAUGAUGUAAUAUUAGAAUUCAUUGAUACGAAGCAUCAAUUGGCCGAUAUCUUUACAAAAGCCUUAAAUAAAGAAUAAUUUGAUUUCAUUAGAAGAGAAAUAGGCAUGUUAAAAUGUCCGAAUGUAUGAGUUGUUAUAUUUUUUUCGGACUAUCUUUAUGUAUUUCAUGAAUGGAGCUUUCAUGAAUUUAUGUUGUAUCAAGUUUAUUCCAUACCCUUGCUCCAUCAUGUAAUAAUGUUUGAGACACUUAGUCCCUUCACUUAUUGAACUUAUUGACAAAUGCAUUUUUCAUGGAUUUCACUAUUAUGAAUUCUUAUUGAGAAACGGAUUGUAUUCAUGGACCUCUUUUUUAUCCUUUCUCAUGAACUCUACCUUACUCCUCUCAUAAAAGAAGGAAGAAUUUUUAUGAAUUUUUAGUAUGAGAUGAUAACUUGCAAGAGUGAGGAUUUGAUUUCAUAUGAAUAUCUUGAUCCUUUUCAUAAAUCCCUUCUCUUUGUUAAAAUUGAAGCAUAAUUUACUGAAACUCAUUUAUUGUUUUUGACAUGGUUCAAAUCCUUUCAUAAAUUUGGAUCUUCAUGGAUUCCUUCCUUACCCUUCUUCCUUUUCUUGUUCUUAUGACAAAGGAAGAAAGAGAGUUGCAUAACUAAAUAAAGAACCAAAAAACCCUUGAGUAAAAAUGUUAGUUUAUUCAAAGAAAAAUUAUCAUGCAAAGUUUUGCUUGCCAUCAUUUAUUGCUUGCAUACAUUGUGAAACUUGAUUGAAUUUUUUUACCACACUUACAUUAUUGAAUUGUUCUCCUUUUUGUUGAUGACAAAGGGGGAGAAAUAAUGUGUAACAUGUAUUGCAUUGUAGAUACUUGAUAAAUGUCUUUCAUUAUAUUAAGAUAUCAUAAGCUCAACUUGCUCUUUACAAUUGAUAUCUUGCCAUGGAUUGAUGAAAUGUUAUCUUUUAUCAAGAAUUAUCAUCUUGUUAAAAUUUAUAUUCGAAAUUCAUAAAUAAUGAUUGAUUAUCAUUGGACUUGAAAAUGAAUGUCAUGCCUUGACAUCAUUUUCACAAAUAUGAAGCAUCGUAUUUUGAAUUGGUAAAUCAUGAUAAGUAUCAUGAUAUGCAUUUUGAUAUGUUUAAAUGAACUUAACUUAUUGGUUUGAUACUUGAAUUCAAAGGCCAUGAAUUCAAGAAUAUUUUUUUCUCAAGUAUGGCAUAUAGAUAUGGGGAGUUAAGGUUAACUCCGUCACCAAUUAAUUGUCAUCAUAAAAAAGGGGGAGAUUGUUGAAUCUCAGAUUUUGAUGAUGAAAUCAAUUGUUAAUUGUUUGAUCUAAUCUAUAUGUUGAGAAAAGUGUGUAGGAUUAACUAUGAUAGCAAUAAGACAUAAAGCAAGUGUUGUGCCGGAGUCAAGAUCGAGAUCUUGUUGGAAGUUCAAGAGUUCGUCGGAAGUCCGGACGUUCGUCGAAAGUUCUGCUGGAAUCAACCGAGAAGUCUAGGAGCUUGCCAAAGAAGCUCGUUGGAACUCGCCAAGAAGAUUAUCAUAAAGUCUAGAAGCUUACCGAGAGUCCAUCGGAACAUUGCCAAGAGUUCAUCGGAAGAUCACUGGAAGAUCGUCGGAAGCUCAUCGGAAGAGCAAUUGAUAUACCAGAACAAGAGUGCUUUAAUUAUGUCUUAGUUAUUGUAGUUAGAUAAUAGAUUAAGCUAGAAUUUGGAGGUAAUCCCACUAACUUAAUUAUGGGCCAAUUGGGCCCUUAACAGGGCUGAAUUGGGUCGGAUUGAACAACCCAUUCAGCCCUUGAAAACAUGGCCAGCGGUGGCAUCGCUUGGGAGACCCAGUUUCCCAUGUGGUUUGGGCAGUGGUACCGUUGGCAAUUAAUGCUGCUAAUAGUGAUACCGCCCCUAUCAAGUGGUGGUAUCAUUAGAGCUCGGUCUCCGAGCUCUAUCUAGCGGUGGUACUGCCCAAUAUCAGAUUACAAGCGGUAGUAUUGCCCAAUAAUGAUGGUAGUACCGCUAGUACACCGAAAUCCAUGGAUAUGAUAUUUUUUGGCUUCAAUUUUGAAGCCAAUGGGGCUUAUAAAAACCCCACCCUUUUCUACAUGAAAGGGUAUGAAAGUAUUAGCAUAAUCUUGAGUCUUUGAAGUGUUAAAGAUUUUUAAAAGUACUAGAGUCCUCCUCCCCCCUUUCUAAGUAUUGAGAUCAUUUAAGAGAGGUGUGAGACUUGUAAGGGUUGUCUCCUAAGCCUGUUAAAAGGAGAAAGUGCUGUAAAAGAUGGUUGGUCUUUGUUUAUUGAAGAAAGACCUUUAGUGGGUGCCGGUGACCUCGACGGAGAAGGAAUAUGAAAGUAGAUGUAGGUCACAAUGACCGAACUACUUUAAAUUAUGGUUUGCUUUUCAUUUGUGCAAUUUAUAUUACUGAAAACCUCCUUAAUCUUCUCUUUGCACUUUUACGAAAGCUUUCAAAUUCAAUCUCUCUCCGAAAUAGAUUAAAUCGAAAUGAAUAUUUUUCGUAAUCGGGAAAGUUUUUCGUUGCACUAAUUCACCCCCCCCUCUUAGUGUGCUCUUGAUCAUAACAGAUUAUUCUUGCUUUAAUUGUCUUUCCCUGAUCAAAACAUAUAGUGUCACUCAAAAUGUAGAUCAAAUCAUAAAUAGUAUCAUUAGUUUCAUCAUCAUAAUCCGAGAUUCAAUAGGGACGAUUCAAGUACAUCCGAAGAUAAGGAGCCAACCAACAAAAGAAGAAGUUGCAAACUAUGCAUUAAUGACAUUUGGCGAUGAGGUAAGUGACUCAAUCAAAGCUCAUUUAUCUUUUGAUGAAUUAUUAAGUGCAUUUCAUGAUUUGUUUGAUGAAUGUAAAUUAGUUAGUAAAAAAUAUAGAUUAUUAAAAAAGGAGAAUGCUUCUCUUGUUAGUGAAUUUGAUAAAUUAAAAAAUGAGCAUGAUGAUAGAUAGUAUGUUAGCUUUGUGCACUAAGUGUAAUGAGAUAGAUUCACUUAAGAAAGAAAAUAUCUUACUAUAAGAAAUAUUAGAAAAAUUAGAGAAAUUUAAAAUAUGUAAUAAAUAUCUAAACAUGAUCCUUUCUAAUAAGGGUCAUGUUCAUAGAAAGGAAGGAAUUGGCUUUAUAAGUAACACUUAACAAAAGCCAACUAUCUUCGUUAAAGGACCUACAUUACAUGUCUCACCAAGAGAAAAAUGUAAUUUUUGUAGAAUAUGUGAUCAUUUUACUUACAAAUGUCCAUUUAAACGGUUUAGUUCACACAAAUUAGUUUAAGUUCCUAAAGGAACUAUAAAUCACUCAAUGAUAGGUUAGAUCUAUUUAUAAGGGACCCAAAGUUAAAUGGGUACAUAAAAGAAAACCCCCAUUCUUGUAGAUGGGUUUACAAGUAAAAGUUAUGAGCAAGAGAUGGUAUUUUGAUAGUGGAUGUUUAAGGCAUAUGACUGAAGAUCCAACACACUUCUCUAAGCUCACUAGCCAAGACAAAGGGUACGUCACCUUCGGAGACAACAACAAAGAAAAAAUUAUUGGCAAAGGAAUCAUAAGUAACAAGUCAAACUUUUUAAUUAAAGAUGUAUUAUUAGUAGAUGAUUUAAAAUAUAAUCUACUAAGUAUUAGUCAAUUGUGUAAUAAAUGAUAUAUCAUUAAAUUUGAAUCUAAUGCUUGUAUAAUUGAAAUACCACACAAAAAUAGAUCUAUAAUUGCUUUAAAAAAUAAUUAUGUGUAUAUUAUUGAUAUUGAUAUUUUUAUGAUGAAAUAUAUUUUUCGGUUUUAGACAAUGAUGCAUAACUUUAGCAUAAGAUAUUAGGUUAUACUAAAAUAAAACUAAUAUCUCAAAUUUUAACUAAAGAACUUGUAAGAGGAAUGUCUAAUAUCAAGUUCAUCAAAAACAAAGUUUGUAAUGCAUGUCAACAAAGAAAAUAAAUAAAAAGUAGUUUCAAAUCAAAAAAUCAAUUAAGUACCUCCUGUUAUAAUUGAUCCACAUGGAUUUAUUUGAACUAAUUGAUACAACAAGUCUAGGAGGUAGUAAAUAUGCCUUUGUAAUUGUUGAUGAUUUUAAUAGAUAUACUUGGACGUACUUAUUGGCUCACAAAAGUGAUUGUUUUAAUUGUUUCUUAAAAUUUUGUAAACUUAUACAAAAUGAAAAGUGUUUUAUGAUUUCAUCUAUUCGUAGUGAUCACGAUGGUGAAUUUCAAAACCAUGAUUUUUAAAAUUUUUGUAAGUCAAAUGGGUACAACCAUAAUUUUUCUACUCCAAGAAAUCCACAACAAAAUGGAGUAGUUGAAAGAAAAAAUAGGAGCUUACAAGAAAUGGCAAAAACUAUGUUAAACGAUCAUAGCCUACCCAAAUAUUUUUGGGCCGAAGCCGUUAAUAUGACAUGCUAUGUCAUGAACAGAGUUCUCGUAAGACCAUUACUUUCUAAAACGCUCUAUGAAUCGUAGAAUAACAAAAAACCCAAUAUUUCAUAUUUUAAAGUUUUCAAUUAUAAAUGUUUUGUUUUAAAUAAAAAAGAUGUCUUAAGAAAAUUUGAUGUAAAAUUCGAUGAAGGCAUUUUUCUCAGUUAUUCCUCUAUGUCUAAAGCUUUUCGUGUCUUUAAUAAAAGAACUUUGGUUAUAGAGGAAUCUAUUCAUGUUGUUUUUAAUGAGCUUCCAAAAUUUAAGAAAAGUAAUUUUGAUGAUGAUUUUGAUUUUGAUGCUUUAAAUUGGAAUGAACACUCUCCUCCCCCAAGCAACUUGGAUGUAUUUUUUUCCAAAAAAUCCUUACCUAAAGAUUAAGAGUAUGUAGAUGCUCAUCCUAAGGAGCUAAUCAUUGGAGACACAUCAAAAAGUGUUCAAACUCGUUCUUCUUUUAAAAAUUUUUGUAUGAAUGCAGCCUUUUUAUCUCAAAUUGAACCUAAAUAUAUUAACGAAGCCCUAAAAGAUAAUUCAUGGGUCUUUGCAAUGCAUGAGAAAUUAAAUCAAUUUGAGAGAAAUGAGGUAUGGAAGCUUAUUCCUAGACCUAGUGACCAUUUGAUAAUUGAUACUAAAUGGGUCUCUAGAAACAAGCAAGAUGAACUUGGUAUCAUGGUUAGAAACAAGGUUAGAUUAGUAGCCAAAAGUUUCAAUUAAGAAGAAUGUAUCAAUUAUGAAGAAACUUUCUCUCCUAUGUCUGGCCUUGAAGUUAUAAGGAUUCUUCUUGCCUAUACUAGUUGUAAUAAUUUUAAGUUAUCUCAAAUGGAUGUUAAAAGUGCUUUUCUUAAUGGCUUUAUUUACGAAGAAGUUUACGUUGAACAACCACAAGAUUUGAGAAUACCACUUUUUCGAAUCAUGUUUUUAAAUUGUCUAAUGCUCUUUAUGAUUUGAAACAAGCUCCAAGGGUUUGGUACGAGAGGCUUAGUUCCUUUCUAAUUAAGAAUAAUUUUAUGAAAGGCAAGGUCAAUACUAUAUUAUUUAUUAAAUAUUUUAAAAAUAAUUUUUUCAUUAUAUAAAUUUAUGUUGAUGAUAUCAUUUUUAAAUCUUCAAAUGAGUCUUUAUGUGAAUCUUUUGCCAAUAGUACAAGUCAUAAAUUUGAAAUGAGUUUAAUGGGGGAAUUAACUUUUUUUCUAGGUUUGUAAAUUAAAUAACUUAGUGAUAGAACUUUUGUUAGUCAAACUAAGUAUGCGUUAGAUCUAUUAAAAUGAUUUAAUAUGGAUAGUGCUAAGGCUAUGAAUACACCAAUGAGUACUCUUACAAAAUUAGAUAUGAAUAUUAAUGGAGAAUAUUUUGAUCAAAAGACUUACAGGGUUAUGAUAGGUAGUUUAUUAUAUAUACCUCACAGUAACUAGACUUAAUAUUAUGUUUAGUGUUGGACUAUAUGCUAGAUUUCAGUUAAAUCCUAAGUAAUCUCACUUAAAAGCCAUUAAAAGAAUUUUUAAAUACAUAAAAGGAACUCCUAAUCUAGGAUUAUGGUAUCCAAAAACUAAAAAUCUUGAAUUGAUUGCUUAUGUCGUUGCUAAUUUUGUUGAUAGUCAAAUAGAUAGAAAAGACACAUCUUGAAUAUGUCAACUCUUAGGUUAUGCACUUAUCUCUUGGUCUUCCAAGAAACAAAACUUGGUUGUAUUAUUUACAACCGAAGCUAAGUAUAUAGCAGUAAGUGCAUGUUGUGCACAAGUUAUAUGGAUGAAAAACACUUUAGAAGAUUAUGGAAUUUACUUGAAAAACAUUCUUACAAAAUGUGAUAACACUAGUGUAAUAUGUUUAACAAAAAAUCAUAUUCAACACUCUAGAACUAAAUAUAUUGAUAUUAAGUAUCAUUUUAUAAGAGAUCAUAUCAAUAAUCAAUCAUGAUAUAUCUUCAUAAUUUAUUGAUACAAAACAUCAAUUAGCUGAUAUUUUUAUAAAACUAUUAAAUAUGGAACAAUUUAAUUUUAUUAAAAGAGAAUUAGGUAUAUUAAAUCUUUCUGAUGCAUGAGUUCCUCUUUUAUAUUUUUUGGAUUUCUUGACUUUUGAAAAUUGAGUUUUCUUUUUCGUGAUCAUUUACUAUCAUUCCUUCUCUUUGCAAUUCACAAAAGAAGAGAUCUUAUUCAUGGAUCAUGGGUAUAUUUGAUCUUUUAUAAUAUGAUCUUUUCCUAUGAAUUUUUCCUCACUCUACUCAUGAAAGAAGAGUUUUUAUUCAUGGACUUUUGGUAUAUAAUGAUUAUUUCCUAUGUGAUGAUCUUUUACAUAAUGACCAUUUCCUAUGAAUCCUCCUUCCUUCUAUUUGCAAGAAUAGGGAUUUGAUUUAUAAAUUUCUAGUAUGCAUAUUUUGAUCUUUUAUGAUGAAUCAUUUCUCUUUGUUAUAGUAGAAGCUUGAUUCAAUGAAACUCCUUUUUCAUGGAUUUGCUUUUGUUCAUAGAUUUGAUUUGGUUUAAAUCCUUUCAUGGAUUUGGUUCUUAUAACUUGAUUUUUCUUGUGAUGAAUGAAUUCCUCCCCUCUUCUUCUUUCUUUUCUUCCUAUUUUAUGAUAAAAGAAAGAAAGAAACUUGCACAUCUCAAGAGAAGUGCUAGUUUUCCCAUUUCACAAAUUUGCUUAACAUCUAAAGUGGUUAUCUUGCAAAGAUUUUGCUUAACUUCUUAUUUUACAAAUUUGCUAGCUUGCAUAAAUGGGUGUAAAACUUACUUGUAUAGUUUAAAAUACAUGCAUAAAUUGUUGGAUGAUUCUUCUUUUUGUUGAUACCAAAGGGGGAGAAAUGAUGAAUGUUUGGAAUCAUAAUGUUGUAUUUGGUAUCAUGAAGUGAUAAAUGGUUAAAAAAUACUUUAGUAUCAUAUAGAUUAUGCCCAAAGUAAUGUUAAUUUGUUAUGAAGUGAUGAAAUUGUGCAUGUUAUACUUUGAUGACUUGGAACUAUGAUGGUGCAUAUGAAAUUUUAAUAUAUUACAUUUGAUCACUAUGGUCAAAAUUAUAUUAUUUAAAUUCAAAGGUCAUGAUCCCUUUUGAAUUCAAGUUUGCCUUAUCUCGAUAUGGUAUAUAGGGGGAGUUAAAGUUAACUCUGUCAUCAAUUAGUUAUCAUCAUAAAAAAAAAAGAUAUUGUUAAAUCUCGAUUUUGAUGAUAACAUCAAUUGGUGAAUUAAUGAUCUAAUUCAUAUGUUGAGAUAAGUGAUGUAGGACUAACUAUGAUUGUGAAAAAAGUAAAAUGAUUAAAGAAGAAUUGAAGUUGGGCCGGAGUCAAUGAUCGGGCAUCGAGCCGGAUGAAUCGAGGGAAAUACCGAAGGAUCGAAUGAUGCAAUGAAAGCUCACCGGAAGUUCAUCGGGAAUUCACUAGAAUUUCAUCGGGAGUUCAUUGAAAGCUCACCGAGAGUUCGUUUGAAGUUCACCGAGAGUUCGGUUGAACAAUUAACGUGGCAAACACCUUAGAUUACAUAUAUCAUAAUUGUUUUAGUCUUAACUAUCAUAGUUAGAACUUUAAUUUGAGUUAUUUUUUAGAUAAAUUAUACUAACUCAAUUAGGGGCCAAUUGGGCCCAAAACAGGGUUGAAUUGGGCUAGUUGGAUGGCCUAUUCAGCCACUUGGAGCUACAUCAAGUGAUGGUAUUGUCCAAACUAGGUGAUAAUAUUGCUUGAGGCUUAGCCUCACAUAUGGUCUGGGUGGUGGCAUUGCCCAAAUUGGGCAAUAGUACCGUCGACAGUUAAUGUUAUCAAGCGGUGGUACCGCUAGAGGCUUUGUUAGGUAGUCGUAUCUUCCAAACUGAGCAGUGGUACUGUCUAAUGUCAGUCAGCAAGUGGUGACACCACUAGUAUCUUAGAAACUCGAGAUUAGACACUUUUUAGCUCUAUUUAUGAAGCUAUUAGAGCCUAUAAAUACCUCACUCUUUCCUACAUAAAAGAGCAAUGAAAGUGUGAAUAAAAGUCUUGUAAUAUUGGGUUGUGAAAGUAUGAAAAAAAGUUCUAAGUGUCCUCCCACUCUUUGUUUCGCUUUGUGAUCAAUCUAAGGGAGGUGUGAGGCUUGUAAGGGUUAUCUUCUAAACCUGUAAAAAGGAAAAAAGUAUUGUAAGAGGGUGGUUGGUCUUCGUACAUUGAAGGAAGACCGUUAGUGGAGGCCACUAGCGUCAACGAAAGAGGAAUCGAAAGUGGAUGUAGAUCACGACGAUCGAACAGCUAUAAAUUUGGUGUGCACUCUCUUUUUGCUCUUCAUUACUACUGCUUUAUGUUUUUAAUUGCUUAUUAUAUUUACCUUAAGUGAAACACACUUUCGAUAUGAAUUCCGAUACGAGUUUCAUCUAAUCAAGCUUUUCAAAAUCAUUGAAGGUUUUUUAAUCGACGAAAAUUUGAUCGUAAGCACUAAUUCACCCCCCUCCUUAGUGUCGACUCGAUCCUAACAUAUCUCACAUGAUAAAAAAAAUAUUUUUUUAUUAUUUACAGAUUAUUACACUAAGAAUGAUGUUAGUGUAUUUUUUGAAAGCAAAAACUAAAACCUUUUCUAUUUUUAAAAUUUUCAAUGCUUAUAUAGAAAUGAUAAGCCAUUAUUUUAUUAAAAUUUUACAUACUAAUCUAGGCAUGAAUUUACUUCCAUUCAUUCUUUUAACUUAUGUAAGAAUGUAGACAUUUAUAGGAAAUAGGUUGCAAACUAUACCCUUAGUAAAAUGGAGUCACAAAGUGAAAGAAUCUAGUUGUUGUCUAGACAACCACUUAAAGAGAAAAUAGUACCAAAAGGAGAGAUGUUGUAAAUAUAAUAGUAUAUUUGUUAUAAACCACUUUUGCACAAAAAUAGUUCAAGGCAAAAUACCCUGUAAAGCAAGGUUUGACAGAUAAAGCAAGGUUUGACAACAGAUAGCUUGAUGCAAGUCACCUGAAGAUAUUCGAUUGUAUUGUUUAUUCUCAUGUUCCUAUACGAAAAAAAGAAGUUUGAAUGCAUAUUUAUGGGGUAUAACAAUGAGAUAAAGAUUUCAGAUAUUGUGAUCCUAAAACUAAAAAAUUAAUUAUAAGCCAUGAUAUUAUUUCAAUAAAAUUUAAAAUUCUAAUAUAAUUAAAAUUUCUAUAGUUAUAAGAUUAGAAGUUAAUAAGGUAUAUGAUACAACUUGCUAUUAAUACCCCACCUGAAUCUUAUCACGUGUUAAGCGAACUGAUACGGAUACAAGUGACUUUGAAACAUCUCAAGUAAAAGUUUAUAGUCUUAUAUAGAUGUAUUAGUCUUGUUAUUUUGCAUAUUUUGUUUUCAAAUCUAUUUGUUUUUUGCUACAGCUCAAAAAAUAAAAUGUGUACAUGUAAUGAAUAAAGGGUUGCAGGCUAUUCAAAACGAAUCAAUUUACCUCAUUUAGUUGCCAAAGGGUAUGCUCAGAUUUCAUGAACUGAUUUUUUUUUUUAAAUUACUAAAAUGGAUACAAUUAGAACAGCAUUUGCAGCUCAAAAGAAAUAAUAAGUUUAUCAAUUUGAAGUUAAAUUAAUCUCUUUAAAUAAAAAAAUACAAAAGUAGGUUUAUGUCAAUCGGUUUAAAGGAUCUAAAACGAAAGGGUUUGAAGAUGAAGUAUAUAAGUUGGAGAAUGCAUUAUAUGAUUUGAAACAAAUGCUGAGGGUAUGGUAUAAUAGAAUCAAUAGCUAUACUGUUCAGUAUAAUUUCCAAAAAAGUUCAAGUGAACUAACCUUAUAUAUAUUGGGUAAACUUUAUAUAUAUUAACCCAAUAUAUAUAAGUUUUUAUUGUUUGUAUAUAUAUGCAGAAGAUAUGAUUUAUAUGGGAAAUUAGAUAGGUAUACUUGAUAAAUUAAAAAAAUAUGAUUUCAAAAUUUUAAAAUAAUAUAUUUGGGGCUUUUAUAUUAUUUUCUAAGAAUGAAAUUAUUCAAGAUUGUAAAUGAAUUUUUUUUUAUGCCAAGAAAAAUAUGCUAGAGAGUUGUUUAAAAUAUUUCAUAUGACAGUUUGUAAACUAGUAAGUGUUAGGAACGAGUCCGCACUAAGAGGGGGGGGUGAAUUAGUACAGCGGUAAAAAUUACGUUGGUUCGAAAAACCUUCGUACGACAAAAUCUGAUUUCUACGAAAAUAGUUUCGUAAAGAUAAUAAUAUUGAAAGUGCACGGAGUAUAGGCAUAGUAAAAGCGUAGUAAGAAGAAGAGGUAGUUUGCUUAUAAAAGUAAAUUGCAAGAAGUAAAGGCAAAUCGAAUUUUUAUAGUGGUUCGAUCGUGGUGACCUACAUCCACUUUACUGAUUCCUCUUCCGUCGAGGCCAUCGGCAUCCACUAUCUGUAAUAUCCCUCACUUUUGAAAAGUAUUAAUAAAGAUUUAUUUAUAAAUUGGAGGACCUAUAUAUAAAUAUAGAAAUUUUAAGGACUAAACUAUUAAGUUGCAAAAAGAAAAAAAAUAAAGAAAACUGAAAAUUUCGGUUUUAUCCCACCGCCUCCCACGCUCUCUGUUUCAGAAACAGAGAGAGGAGCUAUGGGGCGUGGGAAGAAGAAGAAGAGUAGUUGAGGGAGAAGAGAAGAAAAGAAGAAGAAGAGGGAAAAGAAGAGAGGAGGAAGAAGAGGGAGAAGAGAAGAAAAGAAGAAGAAGAAGAGAGGGAAGAUGGAGAGGAGAGAGAGAGGCAGCUGCAGCAGCUAGGGCUGCAGCACCUCUGUUUCCCGCAGGUGGAAAUAGAGGAGAGGAUGUGUGGGGCAUUGGGGAGGAGAAGGGAAGAAGAAGAAGAAGAAGAAGAAGAAGAAAAAGAAGAGAGGAGGAUAGUUGCGGCAAAGCUGCAGCGAGGAGGUGUGUGGCGUUGGGGAGGAAAAAGGAAGAGGAGAAGAAGAGAAGGAGAAN
rnacentral:lncRNA from 1 species